GCCCUGGUAGCUCAGCCGGCUAGAGCAUCUGACUGUUAAUCAGAGGGUCGCAGGUUCGAAUCCUGCCCAGGGCG
rnacentral:tRNA from 1 species